AUGAACCGCGUACGCCCGUGGAAUACCGGCCGCCGAGAAAAUCCAAUCGAAUACUCUUCGUCUCGCUGGGUAUGGGAGGUGGCCAAGGAACCGGGGUCAUCCCUGGCACCACAUCACCAGCUUAACUCACGAGAGAAGGACGAGAGAGAGAGAGAAGAAAACCCAAAAUCGGUAGCACGAUUCGGUGGUGGGAUGUGUCAGAUCUCGACAAGAGCGAAUCCGUGUGGAAAACCCGAAGAGACGCUCGGUCAGAUGAUCGACUGGUUCGCGUGUGGCUGGUGGUCAGAAGGCGCUCGGCCACCGCCGAAGCCGGCCGCGCGCCGCUGA
rnacentral:rRNA from 1 species